CUGGAGCAGGCGCCGGGCGGGCUUUUGGCUCGCGGCGGCGGCUCGCUCUGCCUCGUGAUAUCACUGCCGGAGCUCAAAUCCCGCUUAGCGUUCCCAUCCUCACGCCGUCUGUCUACGCUGGCGGAGGUGGAAUCUUUCUGCAGCAGGCAGGCAGCUCCCUUGAGUAGGCGAGGUUGGAGGAGACAGGGACAGGGUCGAUGUGAAGACCAGUGUGAGGAACGGAACGAAGGAAGCAGGCCCAGUAUGAAAUUAGUCGCUGCUUAUUACGUGCUGCCUCUCUUUCCUGCUCUGGUCUUUGGCACUAGUUGAUUAUGCAGAUUAUGGUUGCUGUGGUGUGGAAAUGUAUCAGUGCUGCUUUCCUUCAUUGCAAAAACAGGUCAGCUCCAAUUCUUUCCAUUU
rnacentral:lncRNA from 1 species